rnacentral:snRNA from 1 species
GGAGGUGAGGGUGAUCUGGCUGCAUUUGUCACCCCAUUGAUUGCCAGGUUGCUUCGGCUGAUUUGGCUGGCUAGGCGGGUGCCCCCUUCCUCUCUCACUGCUCCGUGUGUGUCUCUCCCAGAGCUGCACACAGUCAAAGAGGAUGACCAUUCCCACUAAAAGGACCGUUCCUUGGUCCAGGGAUACGAGUGGUUGCGCUCCCCUGUUAGUACUUCCAAGCAAGUCUACUUAACAAGAAUCUGACACACAGAAUGAGAUGUCAUUUAUCAGACAAGUAGGACCAGGAGCACUAGCAUGUCUGACUAC